rnacentral:rRNA from 1 species
GACGAACGCUGGCGGCGUGCUUAACACAUGCAAGUCGAACGGUAAGGCCCUUUCGGGGGUACACGAGUGGCGAACGGGUGAGUAACACGUGGGUGAUCUGCCCUGCACUUUGGGAUAAGCCUGGGAAACUGGGUCUAAUACCGGAUAGGACUACGCGAUGCAUGUCGUGUGGUGGAAAGCUUUUGCGGUGUGGGAUGGGCCCGCGGCCUAUCAGCUUGUUGGUGGGGUGAUGGCCUACCAAGGCGACGACGGGUAGCCGGCCUGAGCGGGUGUCCGGCCACACUGGGACUGAGAUACGGCCCAGACUCCUACGGGAGGCAGCAGUGGGGAAUAUUGCACAAUGGGCGCAAGCCUGAUGCAGCGACGCCGCGUGGGGGAUGACGGCCUUCGGGUUGUAAACCCCUUUCAGCACAGACGAAGCGUAAGUGACGGUAUGUGCAGAAGAAGCACCGGCCAACUACGUG